AGAGAGAGACCUCCCUGAUUCACUGACUCAGUAACAUCAGGUUUAGUACCCCUGUAGGUUUGGCUCCCCCUUUCCCCUAAGAUAAUGAGCCUACUGCUGGUUUAAUAAGUCAAACAACAAAUCAUGAGAAAACAUGGCACAAUGCCCAAGAGGAUACAUUAAAAAGCAAAGAAAGUAACCUUGAACAAGGAACAUCAGGAAGAAGAAUUGAAACCGACUUAUGAAGUGGAGGGGCUAUGUCUGUGUCUGCACCAUCUACAUUACCGCAGUAGUAUAAACGCUUUCAUCUAUCCACCUAUUCUUUGGGCCCAGGAACUUUUUGAAUGUCACCUUCAUUUACCACCAUGAACAUCACGAAAAAAGAGCUCAACUCCCCAGUCCCCAUCAUGUUGAAAGAUCAUCCAAUUCAAAGACCAAAAACGACCAUCAAGAAAUUCAAGUUCCACCAGAAACAAGAUAAAAGAAGCCAACCAAUAGAAAGGUGACAAAAAAAAAAAGACCCUGGAGCCGCCUACAUUAGAGUUCAGUCAGCUUACUAAUAAAUACAUAAAAAUUAA